rnacentral:rRNA from 1 species
UGGUGGCGACCGGCGCACGGGUGAGUAACGCGUAUGCAACCCCCUUAUCAGAGGGGGAUAACCCGGCGAAAGUCGGACUAAUACCGCAUAAAACAGGGGCACCGCAUGGUGAUAUUUGUUAAAAAUUUAUUGCUGAUAGAUGGGCAUGCGUUCCAUUAGGUAGUUGGAGAGGUAACGGCUCACCAAGCCAACGAUGGAUAGGGGAACUGAGAGGUUGGUCCCCCACACUGGUACUGAGACACGGACCAGACUCCUACGGGAGGCAGCAGUGAGGAAUAUUGGUCAAUGGGCGAGAGCCUGAACCAGCCAAGUCGCGUGAAGGAAGAAGGAUCUAUGGUUCGUAAACUUCUUUUGCAGGGGAAUAAAGUGCAGGACGUGUCCUGUUUUGUAUGUACCCUGAGAAUAAGGAUCGGCUAACUCCGUGCCAGCAGCCGCGGUAAUACGGAGGAUCCGAGCGUUAUCCGGAUUUAUUGGGUUUAAAGGGUGCGUAGGUGGUUUAAUAAGUCAGCGGUGAAAGUUUGCAGCUUAACUGUAAAAAUGCCGUUGAAACUGUUAGACUUGAGUGUAAAUGAGGUAGGCGGAAUGCGUGGUGUAGCGGUGAAAUGCUUAGAUAUCACGAAGAACUCCGAUUG